GCAUAUCAAUAAGCGGAGGAAAAGAAACCAACAGGGAUUGCCCCAGUAACGGCGAGUGAAGCGGCAACAGCUCAAAUUUGAAAUCUGGCUCUCGGGCCCGAGUUGUAAUUUGUAGAGGAUGCUUUUGGUGAGGUGCCUUCCGAGUUCCCUGGAACGGGACGCCAUAGAGGGUGAGAGCCCCGUCUGGUUGGACGCCGAACCUCUGUAAAGCUCCUUCGACGAGUCGAGUAGUUUGGGAAUGCUGCUCUAAAUGGGAGGUAUAUGUCUUCUAAAGCUAAAUACCGGCCAGAGACCGAUAGCGCACAAGUAGAGUGAUCGAAAGAUGAAAAGAACUUUGAAAAGAGAGUUAAACAGUACGUGAAAUUGUUGAAAGGGAAGCGCUUGUGACCAGACUUGGGCUUGGUUGAUCAUCCGGGGUUCUCCCCGGUGCACUCUUCCGGCCCAGGCCAGCAUCAGUUCGCCCUGGGGGACAAAGGCAUCGGGAACGUGGCUCUCUCCGGGGAGUGUUAUAGCCCGUUGCGUAAUACCCUGCGGCGGACUGAGGUUCGCGCAUUCGCAAGGAUGCUGGCGUAAUGGUCAUCAGUGACCCGUCUUGAAACACGGACC
rnacentral:rRNA from 17 species